GUAGGUGAACCUGCGGAAGGAUCAUUAUAGUAAACAUUCAUUUAUAGAAUGCUGCUGGAGAGCUGGAUAAAACCAUGGGGAUGGAGGCACUGCUACUCGCGGAGCUGCUCCCCCAUGUGGCCCGCAAGGGAGUCCAGACCCGCCAACCUUGUCAAUACAAAACUACCGUUACCUCGGCGGGUUUGCCCGCCGGCGGAUGCAUUAAAUUCUUUUUAAAAAUACGCUGUAAUUAGUGUCACAGUCUGAAAUAAAUUUAAUAAAUAUUAAAACUUUCAACAACGGAUCUCUUGGUUCUG
rnacentral:misc_RNA from 1 species